CACAUGCAAGUCGAACGAGCGAGAGGAGGUUUACUUUCUCAAGCGAGUGGCGAACGGGUGAGUAACGCGUGAGGAACCUGCCUCAAAGAGGGGGACAACAGUUGGAAACGACUGCUAAUACCGCAUAAGCCCACGACCCGGCAUCGGGUAGAGGGAAAAGGAGCAAUCCGCUUUGAGAUGGCCUCGCGUCCGAUUAGCUAGUUGGUGAGGUAACGGCCCACCAAGGCGACGAUCGGUAGCCGGACUGAGAGGUUGAACGGCCACAUUGGGACUGAGACACGGCCCAGACUCCUACGGGAGGCAGCAGUGGGGAAUAUUGCACAAUGGGGGAAACCCUGAUGCAGCGACGCCGCGUGGAGGAAGAAGGUCUUCGGAUUGUAAACUCCUGUUGUUGAGGAAGAUAAUGACGGUACUCAACAAGGAAGUGACGGCUAACUACGUGCCAGCAGCCGCGGUAAAACGUAGGUCACAAGCGUUGUCCGGAAUUACUGGGUGUAAAGGGAGCGCAGGCGGGAAGGCAAGUUGGAAGUGAAAUCCAUGGGCUCAACCCAUGAACUGCUUUCAAAACUGUUUUUCUUGAGUAGUGCAGAGGUAGGCGGAAUUCCCGGUGUAGCGGUGGAAUGCGUAGAUAUCGGGAGGAACACCAGUGGCGAAG
rnacentral:rRNA from 1 species